AAGGCUAUACUUUCUGGGAUCAUUUCUAUAGUUAAUGAUUUGAGAAAUGAGUUUCCAAAGUGUUUGGUCCUGUCAACCACGAUGAUGAGGUGUGCUAUUUCUUCCUGAGCAUGAAGGUGGCAGACAAUCAUGAUUCUGUCAUAGGUUGUCUCCCGUUGAUGAAUGUUCAUUGCUUCUUAAUGAAACAUUGAUGGAAGAAAUAUGGUCAGAGUGGC